UGCAAAACCCAUGUUAUGAAAUAUGAAUUAUUAAUAAUUUCAUCAAUUUAAAGUAUUCAUUAAUGACAAUAUUCAUAAAUAUUUAGUAUUUUCAACAAAUAUAAUUUCUAUAUUUAACGUAAAAGAAAAGCAGAGGCUGAGUUUGUUCCACGUCGGUAUUUCAGAACAUGAGACAUGAAAUUCCAUAUGAAGUCAGAUCUGUCCUGUAUUUGUACUUAAUCAAUGUUAUAAAAUAUAGUAGGUUUGAAUCUUUAUAUUACGGAUGAGUGUAACGUAAAGAACUCUUGUGUUCUCACUUAAAAUAAUGCAUGCACAUUCGGUAGAAGACGCUUCUAUGCAGCGUUCUUUCUAUACUGUCAUAUCGCAUCCAUUUACAUGGUAACAUAUGACUCGCUUACUCUAUCUUUACAUUUCUAUGUAUGUAGCAAGUAACCAUUUAACAAAUAUUAUUUUAUUUCAUUUUUAAAUUAAUUAUGCUAUUACUUUGUUUCAAACAUGAACACAAAAUUAUAUUUAUCCAAGAAUCUUAUAAUGAUAAAAUUAUCUUUAAUUUAUAUGAAUACAAAAUUAACUGAAAAUUUCUUUAAUAUUGAAUGUAAUAUGUACAAUUUCAUUAUGUAAAUCUUUCAAACCAAAAGCAAAUAAUUGAUUAACUAUACUUUUCAGUUUAUAUCAGAUCAUUAUGUGAAUGUGGGAUUUUUUAAGAAGCAACUUACUUUCAUAAGUUUAUUUAUCGUAAGGGUGGCAAAGUUACGGACGGAUUUCCUUUAUCCGGUUCCUUAUCAGUCAGCCACUUUUUGUACUGAUCCCUUGCUUCAUUAACGCAUGGUUCGUAUCCAGCACGACAAAGGAAAUUUUUUGCCAUUCCUCGCAUAUGAGUUUUCCAAGAUGGUUCAUUUGGUUCUACAGUUCUACUGAG